UGCUGGAGGUAUCAGAAGUGCGAAUGCUGACAUAAGUAACGAUAAAGCGGGUGAAAAGCCCGCUCGCCGGAAGACCAAGGGUUCCUGUCCAACGUUAAUCGGGGCAGGGUGAGUCGACCCCUAAGGCGAGGCCGAAAGGCGUAGUCGAUGGGAAACAGGUUAAUAUUCCUGUACUUGGUGUUACUGCGAAGGGGGGACGGAGAAGGCUAUGUUAGCCGGGCGACGGUUGUCCCGGUUUAAGCAUGUAGGCUGAUUGUCCAGGCAAAUCCGGAUAAUCAAGGCUGAGGUGUGAUGACGAGGCACUACGGUGCUGAAGUAACAAAUGCCCUGCUUCCAGGAAAAGCCUCUAAGCAUCAGGUAACAUUAAAUCGUACCCCAAACCGACACAGGUGGUCAGGUAGAGAAUACCAAGGCGCUUGAGAGAACUCGGGUGAAGGAACUAGGCAAAAUGGUGCCGUAACUUCGGGAGAAGGCACGCUGGUGUGUAGGUGAAGUCCCUGCGGAUGGAGCUGAGACCAGUCGAAGAUACCAGCUGGCUGCAACUGUUUAUUAAAAACACAGCACUGUGCAAACACGAAAGUGGACGUAUACGGUGUGACGCCUGCCCGGUGCCGGAAGGUUAAUUGAUGGGGUUAUCCGUAAGGAGAAGCUCUUGAUCGAAGCCCCGGUAAACGGCGGCCGUAACUAUAACGGUCCUAAGGUAGCGAAAUUCCUUGUCGGGUAAGUUCCGACCUGCACGAAUGGCGUAAUGAUGGCCAGGCUGUCUCCACCCGAGACUCAGUGAAAUUGAACUCGCUGUGAAGAUGCAGUGUACCCGCGGCAAGACGGAAAGACCCCGUGAACCUUUACUAUAGCUUGACACUGAACAUUGAGCCUUGAUGUGUAGGAUAGGUGGGAGGCUUUGAAGCGUGGACGCCAGUCUGCGUGGAGCCAACCUUGAAAUACCACCCUUUAAUAUUUGAUGUUCUAACGUUGGCCCCUGACCGGGGUUGCGGACAGUGUCUGGUGGGUAGUUUGACUGGGGCGGUCUCCUCCCAAAGCGUAACGGAGGAGCACGAAGGUUAGCUAAUCCUGGUCGGACAUCAGGAGGUUAGUGCAAUGGCAUAAGCUAGCUUGACUGCGAGCGUGACGGCGCGAGCAGGUGCGAAAGCAGGUCAUAGUGAUCCGGUGGUUCUGAAUGGAAGGGCCAUCGCUCAACGGAUAAAAGGUACUCCGGGGAUAACAGGCUGAUACCGCCCAAGAGUUCAUAUCGACGGCGGUGUUUGGCACCUCGAUGUCGGCUCAUCACAUCCUGGGGCUGAAGUAGGUCCCAAGGGUAUGGCUGUUCGCCAUUUAAAGUGGUACGCGAGCUGGGUUUAGAACGUCGUGAGACAGUUCGGUCCCUAUCUGCCGUGGGCGCUGGAGAAUUGAGGGGGGCUGCUCCUAGUACGAGAGGACCGGAGUGGACGCAUCACUGGUGUUCGGGUUGUCAUGCCAAUGGCACUGCCCGGUAGCUAAAUGCGGAAGAGAUAAGUGCUGAAAGCAUCUAAGCACGAAACUUGCCCCGAGAUGAGUUCUCCCUGAGACUUUAAGUCUCCUGAAGGAACGUUGAAGACGACGACGUUGAUAGGCCGGGUGUGUAAGCGCAGCGAUGCGUUGAGCUAACCGGUACUAAUGAACCGUGAGGCUUAACCUU
rnacentral:rRNA from 1 species